AGAACGAACGCUAGCGGCGUGGAUAAGACAUGCAAGUCGAACGGGUAGCAAUACUAGUGGCGAACGGGUGCGUAACACGUAGGCAAUAUACCGGGAAGUGGGGGAUAGCCCAGGGAAACUUGGAUUAAUACCGCAUGUGGCGGCAGGUGGCAUCACUUGUUGUCAAAGGAGGGGAUCGCAAGACCUUUCGCUUCCUGAUUAGCCUGCGGCCUAUCAGCUUGUUGGAGAGGUAACGGCUCACCAAGGCGACGACGGGUAGCUGGUCUGAGAGGAUGACCAGCCACAUUGGAACUGAGACACGGUCCAGACACCUACGGGUGGCAGCAGUCGAGAAUCAUUCACAAUGGGCGAAAGCCUGAUGGUGUGACGCCGCGUGGAGGAUGAAGGUCUUAGGAUUGUAAACUCCUGUCAUUCAUGAGCAAGGUUACUGGGUUAAUAACCGUGGGACUUGAUAUUAGUGAAGAGGAAGAGACGGCUAACUCUAGCG
rnacentral:rRNA from 1 species